AUGAUCUAAAUUUCAGUGAGCAAAGUGUUUUGUUGGGAUAUGAGACUGUUCUUUUUGCCUUACAAUGUCCUUAAUUAAUUUUUCAUUAUUACAGGUAUUGGUGAUAGGAUAAAUGUUCCUCCCCAGAGAAAAGCUGGUAGCAUCCCAGUCCAGGAGUGGCAGCUCGGAGUUCCUGGUGCUGGAUCUGAGUUUCACUGCCCCUUGGGUUUCCUACACCUAAAACGGCUCGGGUGUAGUGGUGAUCCACACCAUGAAGUUUAUAGGUCCCAGCCCCACGCUUCCUACUGGUCCGGAGUAACGUUUGGAGGAGCCCGGCAGCAUGGUCCUUUCAGUAGCUCCCAAGGAUUUUUAGGAUCAUGGGAUGUAUGGACCCCGAAAACCCUCUGGAGAACGUUGGCUGCGGAUAAAAGCAUCUGGAAGUUCUUACCAUCUUUUACCCUGUUUUUUUCUGAGUCACCUUGUGUCAUUUGGGAAGGAAGCCUGUCUGUCCUGAGGAUUAUAGCAAACUGGUCACUUACUGGAAUACCUCCCCUUGCAUUUUCUCAAGAUGGAGCCGUUGCUUUACACAGCAGAAGGAUAUUUUUUCUUCUCCCAGAGCUUUUCCAGUGCAGCGGCGCUCAUGUCCAGCAGGUCUCCGUUGACUGUGAUAACGAGAGAGGAGGAGUGUGUGGAAGGGAGGUCUGAUCCUGCCAGGGUUUCCUGGGAAAUGAGGUGCAACCACUGUUUGGAUGAUGAAGCCUGACAAGCUGCAAUUUGGCUUGGAUUACAAUAUUUCAAAAGACUUUCUGAACUCGCCAGGCAACCCUCACCCUAGACUUUGGGGGCAGGGGAGCUUAAGUUUAUAUCUCCAAUGUUACACACAGGAGAAAGAACAGAGUUGACUGCUUUGCACAAGUAACUAAAAUCAGUGCUUUGUUGCUGUUCGGAGCUCUUAAAAGGAGAAAAGCCUGGAGUAGAGCUCUCGUUUUAGAGAUGGAUUUUGCCUGGGAGGAGAGUGCACGAGGGAAGAAGAUACAGGAGGCAGGAGGAGAGGUGAUGCUACAAGCCGGCUUCUUGCCCUCCAGAGUGGGACUUAAACUUCAUAACAAGGUAAAAAAAACCCCAAACCAGCCAAAUAUUUUCCCUCCUUCCCACCUCACUCAAAUAUCCAUCAGACAAGAAGUGGGUGAGUCCAGGCAUUGACUUUUGAUUGAGUAGUUUCUCCUACUGCCCCCAACCUCCCUCCUGUUCCCUUGCCCACUUCCAGUGUCCUGUGUCACCUGUUCAGAGCCCAUCGCAGAGGCCAGCAGACACUUGAGCAGGCUUCAUGUAAAAAUGAUUAGCAAAUUUCUACAGUCUUACUUGUCCACAUAUCUAAGACUUAAUUUUCCAAGCAUCUCUGCUCACACACACACACAUUAAAUAUAUUGCUUCUGGAGGAAGCUUUGUGCCUUUACUUUAUGCCAGAGGAGCUUGCUGCUUUAUUUUUGGAAGUGAGGAGGACAAGUCCCUCACACGCAUAUGCACUGUUUGCAGCUCCAGCUCCAGAGCACAGCAGUGAUGUAUUUUCCAAACUGAUGACAUACAAAGAGAGCUGAAAUAAAUGGGCUUAUCGCAUUGCCUCGUACAGAGCCUCAUGAGGAGAAGGGCAGGAGCUGGAAAAAAUAGAGCAAAAUUACCUGGUUUCAAUUUACCACCUUUGGAGAAUUGAAAAAUGUUGGUUGCAGAAAAGAAAGUUGAAGCUUGAUUUAUUUUUUAGCUUCUCUCCUGCUGCAAACGUUUUUCCUCAUAAACAUGUGUGGCUCCUCGCUUGUUGUGCCCUGGGCUCUGGAGUGCUGGAAGCAUUCCUCGGAGGAGAGGUCUGGCCAGGAUGGCAGAGGGGUGUCUUGAGCUUGGUCUGUUCUAGUGAUACAACUCAACGGGCAUGAGGGACACAUGGCUUUCGUCUGCUGCACUUUGUGCAGUCCGGCUGGUUUGUGUGAAGGCUGUGUGGUGGUGAGGGUGGAAAGGGUUCAUCAGACUCUCCCUCUGAGGUUGCUAUGUGUGAGGUUGCCAUGAAGGCCAUGCCAGAAUGUGUGUAUAGACCUGUAUCAUCAUGUUAACAUUCCCUAAUAAAUUUGGCAAUGAUGAAAAAUGCUGAA